rnacentral:lncRNA from 1 species
CUAUGUAGGUUUUCAUAUCUGGUCAUCAAGUCCUCAAAUAAGGUCCCUUGGUCUUGGAUCUGCUGCAAGUCUUCCUCCAUAGCGGAUAGAGAAUUAACUAUCUUAUGAAAAAAUCUUCUAGCAUCUGCUACAGCCUCCUUCAAACAUAUUCGUUUAGUAUCCCGUAAAACCUUCUUUGAAGCAAUUGGCAAGGAGAUGUUAAAGAUGGACAUCGGAAAUACUCCAUCUAUUUUACAUUGCUCGAGAAAUUUCCAUUUUUCGAAUGCUCUCACCCUCUUUUGGCUUGCUUUCUCAAAACAUCUAAUAAGCUGGCUCUGUUUACUGGACUCUACAUGGGAAAAUGGUAAUGUAAUCGUGGCGUACGACUUUGAAGGUCUGUGCCCGUCCCUGAGGAUCAAACCGGUCUGCCUCCUCUUCUACAGGUUCCUCCUGGCCAGUGCGGCUGGCUUAUGUGUG